rnacentral:rRNA from 1 species
UUUAACGGCCGCGGUAUCAUAACCGUGCGAAGGUAGCAUAAUAAAUUGUUCUCUAAAUAGGGACUAGUAUGAAAGGCACCACGAGGGCUUAACUGUCUCCCUUUUCCAAUUAAUGAAACUGAUCUUCUCGUGAAGAAGCGAGAAUAAAAAUAUAAGACGAGAAGACCCCAUGGAGCUUUAAACUCAUCAUCAUUUACUUUUUUCACAUCAUCACAUAUAGUAAAAAUGUUAACUGAUAGUUUUCGGCUGGGGUGACCCUGGAGAAAAACAAAUCCUCCAGGAUGAACGGAAUAAUAAUCCUAAUCAAAGAGUCACAACUCUAAGAAUCAAAACAUUGACAUCAUUUGAUCCAAUUACUUGAUCAACGAACCAAGUUACCCUGGGGAUAACAGCGCAAUCCAUUUCAAGAGCCCCUAUCGACAAAUGGGUUUACGACCUCGAUGUUGGAUCGGGGUAUCCCAGUGGCGCAGCCGCUACUAAAGGUUCGUUUGUUCAACGAUUAACAAC